rnacentral:tRNA from 1 species
GGGGUUACAGCUCAGUUAGUAGAGUAUUUGCCUUGCAUGCAUAAAGCCUGGGUUCAAUCCCCAGUACCACCA